rnacentral:tRNA from 1 species
ACCGAAAUAGCCUGAUUGGGAGAGCGUUAGACUAUAGAUCGAAAGGUCCCUGGUUCGAUCCCGGAAUUCGGCA